GAUGAAGAACGUAGCUAAAUGCGAUAAGUAAUGUGAAUUGCAGAAUUCAGUGAAUCAUCGAAUCUUUGAACGCACAUUGCGCCCGCUGGUAUUCCGGCGGGCAUGCCUGUUCGAGCGUCAUUUCAACCCUCAAGCUCUCCGGAGUUUGGUGUUGGGGCGCCUGGGGCUUUUCGACCUCAGGGCCCUCAAGUCCAUCGGCGGGACCGCCAGGACACUGAGCGCAGUAGUAUUAUUUCGCUCGGUAGGAUCUUCCACGGCGGGUCGAUCUGGCCGCUAAACCCCCCAAUUCUCACCAAAGGUUGACCUCGGAUCAGGUAGGAAUACCCGCUGAACUUAAGCAUAUCAAUAAGCGGAGGA
rnacentral:misc_RNA from 1 species